CGCUCUGCUGUGGGUCGCUUACCCCUGGAACUUGUGGCUUUACCGGAUGAGCCGAAAGGUAAAAAAUUUAUUGCCACAGAUGAGCUCGCGUCUGAUUAGCUUUUUGGUAAGGUAAAAGCGUAUCAAGGCGACGAUCAGUACCUGGUCUGAGAGGAUUACCAGCUACUUUGGGACUGAGACACGGCCCAUACUCCUACGGAAGGCACCAGUGGGGAAUUUUCCCCUUUGGCCGAAAGCCUGACGGAGCAACAUCGCGUGGGGGAGGAAGGUUUUUGGAUCGUACACCCUUUUUGUCGGGAAGAAGUUCUGACGGUACUUGACGAAUAACCCUCGGCUAACUCCGUGCCAGCAGCCGCGGUAAUACGGAGGAGGCAAGCGUUAUCCGGAAUGAUUGGCCGUAUAGCGUCUGUUGGUGGCCGGCUCAUUCUGCUGUUAUAGAUCACAGCUCAACUGUGGGAAGGCAGUGCAAACUGGCAAGCUAGAGGCUGGUAUGGGUAAAGGGAAUUCCUGGUGUAUCGGUGAAUUGCGUAUAUAUCGCGAACAACACCGGUGGCGAAAGCGCUUUACUGUUCCAGAUCUGACACUGAUAGACGAAAGCUAGGGUAGCGAACGGGAUUAGAUACCCGUUUUUUCCCCCGUUCUCCCC
rnacentral:rRNA from 1 species